AGUGAGGUGUUGACUGUAUGUCUAGUGGUGGAUAGUGAGGUGUUGACUGUAGGUCUAGUGAUGGAUAGUGAGGUGUGGACUGUAGGUCUAGUGGUGGAUAGUGAGGUGUUGACUGUAUGUCUAGUGGUGGAUAGUGAGGUGUUGACUGUAGGUCUAGUGAUGGAUAGUGAGGUGUGGACUGUAGGUCUAGUGGUGGAUUGUGAUGUGUUGACUGUAGGUCUAGUGGUGGAUAGUGAGGUGUGGACUGUAGGUCUAGUGGUGGAUUGUGAUGUGUUGACUGUAGGUCUAGUGGUGGAUAGUGAGGUGUUGACUGUAGGUCUAGUGGUGGAUAGUGAGGUGUGGACUGUAGGUCUAGUGGUGGAUAGUGAGGUGUGGACUGUAGGUCUAGUGGUGGAUAGUGAGGUGUUGACUGUAUGUCUAGUGGUGGAUAGUGAGGUGUUGACUGUAGGUCUAGUGGUGGAUAGUGAGGUGUGGACUGUAGGUCUAGUGGUGGAUAGUGAGGUGUUGACUGUAGGUCUAGUGGUGGAUAGUGAGGUGUUGACUGUAGGUCUAGUGGUGGAUUGUGAGGUGUUGACUGUAGGUCUAGUGGUGGAUAGUGAGGUGUUGACUCUGGGUCUAGUGGUGGAUAGUGAGGUGUUGACUGUAGGUCUAGUGGUGGAUAGUGAGGUGUUGACUCUGGGUCUAGUGGUGGAUAGUGAGGUGUUGACUGUAUGUCUAGUGGUGGAUAGUGAGGUGUUGACUGUAGGUGUAGUGGUGGAUAGUGAGGUGUGGACUGUAGGUCUAGUGGUGGAUAGUGAGGUGUUGACUGUAUGUCUAGUGGUGG
ensembl:lncRNA